rnacentral:rRNA from 1 species
CGUAGGGCCAAGCGUUGUUCGGAUUUACUGGGCGUAAAGGGCGCGUAGGCGGCGUGACAAGUCACUUGUGAAAUCUCUGAGCUUAACUCAGAACGGCCAAGUGAAACUGUUGUGCUAGAGUGCAGAAGGGGCAAUCGGAAUUCUUGGUGUAGCGGUGAAAUGCGUAGAUAUCAAGAGGAACACCUGAGGUGAAGACGGGUUGCUGGGCUGACACUGACGCUGAGGCGCGAAAGCCAGGGGAGCAAACGGGAUUAGAUACCCCGGUAGUCCUGGCCCUAAACGAUGAAUACUUGGUGUCUGGAGUUAUUAGUGCUCCGGGUGCCGUCGCUAACGUUUUUAGUAUUCCGCCUGGGGAGUACGCUCGCAAGAGUG